rnacentral:rRNA from 1 species
UUUCCUACGGGGGGCAGCAGUAGGGAAUUUUCGUCAAUGGGCGCAAGCCUGAACGAGCAAUGCCGCGUGAACGAGGAAGGUCUUCGGAUCGUAAAGUUCUGUUGAAGGGGAAAAAGAGCGGAGAGAGGAAAUGAACUCCGAUUGAUAUUACCCUUCGAGGAAGUCACGGCUAACUACGUGCCAGCAGCCGCGGUAAUACGUAGGUGGCGAGCGUUAUCCGGAUUUAUUGGGUUUAAAGGGUGCGCAGGCGGCGAGUUAAGUCAGCGGUAAAAUUUCGGGGCUCAACCCCGACGAGCCGUUGCAAC